GCGGGACACGUGGUAUCCUGUCUGAAUAUGGGGGGACCAUCCUCCAAGGCUAAAUACUCCUGACUGACCGAUAGUGAACCAGUACCGUGAGGGAAAGGCGAAAAGAACCCCGGCGAGGGGAGUGAAAAAGAACCUGAAACCGUGUACGUACAAGCAGUGGGAGCCUCUUAAUGGGGUGACUGCGUACCUUUUGUAUAAUGGGUCAGCGACUUAUAUUCUGUAGCAAGGUUAACCGAAUAGGGGAGCCGAAGGGAAACCGAGUCUUAACUGGGCGUUAAGUUGCAGGGUAUAGACCCGAAACCCGGUGAUCUAGCCAUGGGCAGGUUGAAGGUUGGGUAACACUAACUGGAGGACCGAACCGACUAAUGUUGAAAAAUUAGCGGAUGACUUGUGGCUGGGGGUGAAAGGCCAAUCAAACCGGGAGAUAGCUGGUUCUCCCCGAAAGCUAUUUAGGUAGCGCCUCGUGAAUUCAUCUCCGGGGGUAGAGCACUGUUUCGGCAAGGGGGUCAUCCCGACUUACCAACCCGAUGCAAACUGCGAAUACCGGAGAAUGUUAUCACGGGAGACACACGGCGGGUGCUAACGUCCGUCGUGAAGAGGGAAACAACCCAGACCGCCAGCUAAGGUCCCAAAGUCAUGGUUAAGUGGGAAACGAUGUGGGAAGGCCCAGACAGCCAGGAUGUUGGCUUAGAAGCAGCCAUCAUUUAAAGAAAGCGUAAUAGCUCACUGGUCGAGUCGGCCUGCGCGGAAGAUGUAACGGGGCUAAACCAUGCACCGAAGCUGCGGCAGCGACACUAUGUGUUGUUGGGUAGGGGAGCGUUCUGUAAGCCUGUGAAGGUGGCCUGUGAGGGUUGCUGGAGGUAUCAGAAGUGCGAAUGCUGACAUAAGUAACGAUAAAGCGGGUGAAAAGCCCGCUCGCCGGAAGACCAAGGGUUCCUGUCCAACGUUAAUCGGGGCAGGGUGAGUCGACCCCUAAGGCGAGGCCGAAAGGCGUAGUCGAUGGGAAACAGGUUAAUAUUCCUGUACUUGGUGUUACUGCGAAGGGGGGACGGAGAAGGCUAUGUUGGCCGGGCGACGGUUGUCCCGGUUUAAGCGUGUAGGCUGGUUUUCCAGGCAAAUCCGGAAAACCAAGGCUGAGGCGUGAUGACGAAGCACUACGGUGCUGAAGCGACAAAUGCCCUGCUUCCAGGAAAAGCCUCUAAGCAUCAGGUAACAUCAAAUCGUACCCCAAACCGACACAGGUGGUCAGGUAGAGAAUACCAAGGCGCUUGAGAGAACUCGGGUGAAGGAACUAGGCAAAAUGGUGCCGUAACUUCGGGAGAAGGCACGCUGAUAUGUAGGUGAAGCGACUUGCUCGUGGAGCUGAAAUCAGUCGAAGAUACCAGCUGGCUGCAACUGUUUAUUAAAAACACAGCACUGUGCAAACACGAAAGUGGACGUAUACGGUGUGACGCCUGCCCGGUGCCGGAAGGUUAAUUGAUGGGGUUAGCGGUAACGCGAAGCUCUUGAUCGAAGCCCCGGUAAACGGCGGCCGUAACUAUAACGGUCCUAAGGUAGCGAAAUUCCUUGUCGGGUAAGUUCCGACCUGCACGAAUGGCGUAAUGAUGGCCAGGCUGUCUCCACCCGAGACUCAGUGAAAUUGAACUCGCUGUGAAGAUGCAGUGUACCCGCGGCAAGACGGAAAGACCCCGUGAACCUUUACUAUAGCUUGACACUGAACAUUGAGCCUUGAUGUGUAGGAUAGGUGGGAGGCUUUGAAGUGUGGACGCCAGUCUGCAUGGAGCCGACCUUGAAAUACCACCCUUUAAUGUUUGAUGUUCUAACGUUGGCCCGUAAUCCGGGUUGCGGACAGUGUCUGGUGGGUAGUUUGACUGGGGCGGUCUCCUCCUAAAGAGUAACGGAGGAGCACGAAGGUUGGCUAAUCCUGGUCGGACAUCAGGAGGUUAGUGCAAUGGCAUAAGCCAGCUUGACUGCGAGCGUGACGGCGCGAGCAGGUGCGAAAGCAGGUCAUAGUGAUCCGGUGGUUCUGAAUGGAAGGGCCAUCGCUCAACGGAUAAAAGGUACUCCGGGGAUAACAGGCUGAUACCGCCCAAGAGUUCAUAUCGACGGCGGUGUUUGGCACCUCGAUGUCGGCUCAUCACAUCCUGGGGCUGAAGUAGGUCCCAAGGGUAUGGCUGUUCGCCAUUUAAAGUGGUACGCGAGCUGGGUUUAGAACGUCGUGAGACAGUUCGGUCCCUAUCUGCCGUGGGCGCUGGAGAACUGAGGGGGGCUGCUCCUAGUACGAGAGGACCGGAGUGGACGCAUCACUGGUGUUCGGGUUGUCAUGCCAAUGGCACUGCCCGGUAGCUAAAUGCGGAAGAGAUAAGUGCUGAAAGCAUCUAAGCACGAAACUUGCCCCGAGAUGAGUUCUCCCUGAGACUUAGAGUCUCCUGAAGGAACGUUGAAGACGACGACGUUGAUAGGCCGGGUGUGUAAGCGCAGCGAUGCGUUGAGCUAACCGGUACUAAUGAACCGUGAGGCUUAACCUUACAACGCCGAAG
rnacentral:rRNA from 1 species